rnacentral:rRNA from 1 species
UACGGAGGGGGCUAGCGUUGUUCGGAAUUACUGGGCGUAAAGCGCUCGUAGGCGGCCCUGCAAGUCGGGGGUGAAAGCCCGAGGCUCAACCUCGGAACUGCCUUCGAUACUGCGGGUCUCGAGUCCGGGAGAGGUGAGUGGAAUUCCUAGUGUAGAGGUGAAAUUCGUAGAUAUUAGGAAGAACACCAGUGGCGAAGGCGGCUCACUGGCCCGGUACUGACGCUGAGGCGCGAAAGCGUGGGGAGCAAACAGG